UACUAGAUAGAACACACUGAUAUGCAACAU
rnacentral:piRNA from 1 species